AGCUACAGGCUUAACACAUGCAAGUCGAGGGGAAACGAUAGAGAAAGCUUGCUUUUUCUAGGCGUCGACCGGCGCACGGGUGAGUAACGCGUAUCCAACCUGCCCAUCACUUGGGGAUAACCUUGCGAAAGUAAGACUAAUACCCAAUGAUAUCUCUAGAAGACAUCUGAAGGAGAUUAAAGAUUUAUCGGUGAUGGAUGGGGAUGCGUCUGAUUAGCUUGUUGGCGGGGUAACGGCCCACCAAGGCGACGAUCAGUAGGGGUUCUGAGAGGAAGGUCCCCCACAUUGGAACUGAGACACGGUCCAAACUCCUACGGGAGGCAGCAGUGAGGAAUAUUGGACAAUGGACGAGAGUCUGAACCAGCCAAGUAGCGUGCAGGAUGACGGCCCUAUGGGUUGUAAACUGCUUUUAUAAGGGAAUAAAGUGAGUCUCGUGAGACUUUUUGCAUGUACCUUAUGAAUAAGGACCGGCUAAUUCUGUGCCAGCAGCCGCGGUAAUACGGAAGGUCCGGGCGUUAUCCGGAUUUAUUGGGUUUAAAGGGAGCGUAGGCCGGAGAUUAAGCGUGUUGUGAAAUGUAGACGCUCAACGUCUGCACUGCAGCGCGAACUGGUUUCCUUGAGUACGCACAAAGUGGGCGGAAUUCGUGGUGUAGCGGUGAAAUGCUUAGAUAUCACGAAGAACUCCGAUUGCGAAGGCAGCUCACUGGAGCGCAACUGACGCUGAAGCUCGAAAGUGGGGGUAUCGAACAGGAUUAGAA
rnacentral:rRNA from 2 species